ACGAGGCGCAUGGGCAACGGGGGCAGCGAGGCACGGCGCCCAUAAAUAAACGUUUCGCAGCAAUCUCGAAGCUGCUGCAUCUACCCGGACCGGUACCGGUGGUUUACAUCUCCCGAAGAAGCGCGACGAUACAGGGAGAGAUCGAUCGACAUGGCUUCGUUGCGACGGCUGCUGCGGCUAUAGAGGAUCCCGGCCGUCCUCGGCGUAGCCCGGCGUCCAGCGCCGCCACCUCCCGCCGGCGCUCCCCUCAGCCUCCGGACCUUCUUCACCAGCAGCGGCGGCGCAUGCAAGGCGCCGCCACCUCUGGCUCGGACCUCAUCUGGAAGUGGUACGUAUCACCAGAGGCACGACGAGAUGGUGAGGUGGGACAUGUAUCUUGUCGGGUCCAUGCAUGAGCGGACUUUGGAUCUCUUGUUUUUUGUGUUCGACUACACCUUCUUCGGAACCGGAUCCGGAUCGUCUGCAGUAGUGAGAUUUGAACAGUAGAAUGAGUGUAGUGCUACGGUGACCGGUGUUCAUGGCGGUACUGUUUACCACCGUAUCAUACAAUCUCAUCCAUCCAUUCUAGAUCGGACGGUCCUUAUUCCUUCUGCCUCCCUCUGGUGUACUUUCCAAGUACUGCAGAGGAUCUCAUUUCCCUUCAUCGGGAUCCCGUGGUCUUUCGAGCUGUACCAGCACCCCCUCGCAAUUCGCUGGAGAAACUGCCACUCUUAAUUCUCGAUCUAUCGGCUGGUUCAAUUAGUUUAGUUCACUUGGCGUUUACUUUUCAUAUAUAUAGCUAGGGUUUAGUUUCCGUAGCAGCAUGUACCUUUUUCUUAGUUGGAUGCAUAUGUUGAUUAUCAUGCAGGAUCAUCAUGUACUCUCUUAUAGUUGAUUACUGCUAUUAAAUUAAAUGUGAAUGUGUCAUGACACUGUACUUGCCAUUGACAA